GCCCCAUAGAGCCCCACAGCCGCCCCAUAGAGCCCCAUAGAGCCCCAUAGCCGCCCCAUAGAGCCCCAUAGAGCCCCAUAGAGCCCCAUAGAGCCCCACAGCCGCCCCAUAGAGCCCCAUAGAGCCCCAUAGAGCCCCACAGACCCCCAUAGAGCCCCAUAGAGCCCCAUAGCCGCCCCAUAGAGCCCCAUAGAGCCCCAUAGAGCCCCAUAGAGCCCCACAGCCGCCCCAUAGAGCCCCAUAGAGCCCCAUAGAGCCCCAUAGACCCCAUAGCCGCCCCAUAGAGCCCCAUAGAGCCCCACAGCCGCCCCAUAGAGCCCCAUAGAGCCCCAUAGAGCCCCAUAGCCGCCUCCAUAGAGCCCCAUAGAGCCCCAUAGAGCCCCAUAGCCGCCCCAUAGAGCCCCAUAGAGCCCCAUAGCCGCCCCAUAGAGCCCCAGAGAGCCCCAUAGAGCCCCAUAGAGUCCCAUAGCCGCCCCAUAGAGCCCCAUAGAGCCCCAUAGAGCCCCAUAGAGUCCUAUAGAGCCCCAUAGAGCCCCAUAGAGCCCCACAGCCGCCCCAUAGAGCCCCAUAGAGCCCCA
ensembl:lncRNA